rnacentral:lncRNA from 1 species
CUCUUGACACGGGGUGGAGGACAUGAAACUCGGAGUAGUUUGAAUCCGAACUCCGGCCCGGCAAAGCUGUGUACCUGCAGCCGGGGCUCGGCUGCCUGCGGGGCUGGCUCCACACGGCAAAAGACCACGGGGACGGCCACGGGGUUCCCGUGCGCCAUGGGCUGGUUGAGAACUUGCUGGAGUGGGUAUUCACAAAGGCUGAGCCCCCGGCCUCGGCGCUCGGGAGCCCAGAGGCCUGGACUCUGGGGCUCGGGCCUGCAGGUGUCAAGGGGGCAGGGAGGAGGACGCUGUUCGGCCAAGCCCGAGAGUAGGCAGAGCUGAGAGCCCCUGGAGGGGGCUGGGGGCGGGGCCUGCCACUGGGGGCGGGGCCUUGGGUGGGUGGGGCAGAGCAAGCCCAUGGGGCCCUGAGGGACCCAGCACCAGGUUUGCAGAGAGCGCCUCUCUCCAGGGCAUGCCGCUCCCAGUCCCUGGCCCCUGGGUGACUUGGGAGUGUGAAGUGCUCCUGGAGACAGGCGACCCUGGGGUGGCGGGCGCGCGCCUGUCCCCGCAGGGCUCCCCUGUUCUCACUUCUGAGCCGGCCUGGUCCUAUUUUUUCUUUUUCUAAGAAAUGAAUGGUAAAUAAUGCUUCUCAGGCACAUCAAAUGUCUUGUUCCAAUACAUGCUUUCUUCUCAUCAUCACCAUUAUUUACAGAGUUGUUCAGGAGAGCAGGAGGGAGAAGAAGUCUUCCGCGGAAGUCACGCUGAUGUCCGAGUCCAGCGAGAAGCCCGAGCCGCCCCCGUCCGUCAGCGAAGUGGAGGCCCCGCCCGUGAGCGAUGAGCCCUCCAAGAAGAGCGAGGAAGGAGCUACCUUUACCAUCUCAGAAGCCGAGGAGACUGAGGAAUGAGGUGCGGGAAGGGGUGCGGGCUGCUGGGAGCCCCCCCAACCCUGGCUGGGACCGCCGCUAGGGGAUGUGAGCAAGUGACU